rnacentral:misc_RNA from 1 species
CCGUUACUAAACAUAGCACUCCGAACGCUGAUGCUUCCUCCGUCGUCCCAGCGUCAUGCACUCGAUGGCGGCGUGUCAGUUGGGCUUGAGGUCCUGGAACAGGCGGUCCCACCUGACCAUCUCGCUGCCGCUCCCGCCCUCCACGUCGUCGCCAACCGCGUGCACGGCCGCGGCGGCCCUCCCACCGACGACGGAGGCUCUGGGCGGGGUGCCCUUGGGCUCCGACCUGGCCCGCCGCAGCGCCUUGUUGCCGCCGCGGCGCUGCUGGCUGUGCUUCGAGACACAGACGCCGCCGACGCCGACGCAUGGUGGGCUGCGGCCGUCGCCGGGGCGCUGCUGCUGCUGCUGCGGCUGGGUCGUCGGGGGCACCAGCACGAGCGCCGUGGACGAGCAGUCGCCCUCGCGGCGCACGAGCGAGCGCACGUACCUGGCGAC